GACGAAGGUGACUCCUGGGCCACGGCAGGGCAGCCUUGGGGAGCAGAGCCCCCAGGCCUCAGUCACCCCCGGCCUCGACUCUUGAGAGACAAGUGCAUCUCCAACGAAACCCUUCUAUGUUCGGGAGCACUGUUCUUGUGAACCCUGCCUGAGUCAGCACGUCUCCUCUCCUAGCCAACAGUAGAAGAGACACAAACCCACAAUGACGAACAGAAGAGGGUACAGCCGUCAAGGAGGAACCAACAGGCAGCUCUUCACGGUGCAUAUCCACGAGGAAGGCUCCAGAAACAAGAGCUAGGGGAGGCGAGUGGCGGCCCCCGUCCAGGGGUACCAAGUGGUGGGAGGGGCAGGGAGGACGACUGCUGCUCUGCAUCAUAAAUCGG
rnacentral:lncRNA from 1 species